AUUUUUUUGUACUUUGGGAUCUUGGAUCUCGCCGUACAUAUCUACAACGUGUGAAAUAUUUGUUUCUCUGUUCGCGCCAUUUAAAGAUUCAGGACAACCCUUUCUCUAUCGUUUUUUCUUUCGUCAAGAUCGUUUAGCCCUUUUCUUAAAAUAAAGAGAUCUAUCAUCUAUGAUAAAAAUAUCAAAUAAAUUAGUCAGCCGGGAAAUAUCAAAGAUUUUACAUUCUCUUCCAAAAAAAU
rnacentral:lncRNA from 1 species